CAAGAAGAUGAUGAUGAAGAACAUGAUGAACAUUGCACAGAAAUUCCAAAGCGUGUGUGAACACACUAAACUUUAGGUUCGAUUCGCCCCCACCAUAAACUGGAUGCAAAAGGGUUAACCGGCGAAUCCCCUUCAGGAUACUUUGGAAACCUUGACAUGGAUUGCACAUACACAUCAAGCAUAUCGAUCAAUGACAUUUUACGGAAUAAAGUUUCUUCAAUGACCCUUGUGCACUAGAGAAAUGAAGAAAUGAUUUAGAAAUAAUUUUGACAGAAUUGACUCAUGAAAUUCAUGAUUUCUCUUAUGUAUUUUCUAUCUUCUAAGUUUCUCUAUUUAUAGAGAAACUUAUGCCAAAAUGAUGAAGGGACACAACCUUUGAAAGGAUUUCAAAAAUGUAAAUUUGAAUUUCAAAUUAACCAUUGCAACCUUUCAAAUAUAUUUUGGAAAAUCUCCAACAAUUACAUUUUGUGUUGGGGGACUGCUGCAAAUACUCGAACAAGAAGAUGAUGAUGAAGAACAUGAUGAACAUUGCACAGAAAUUCCAAAGCGUGUGUGAACACACUAAACUUUAGGCUCGAUUCGCCCCCACCAUAAACUGGAUGCAAAAGGGUUAACCGGCGAAUUUCCUUCAGGAUACUUUGGAAACCUUGACAUGGAUUGCACAUACACAUCAAGCAUAUCAAUCAACGACAUUUUACGGAAUAAAGUUUCUUCAAUGACCCUUGUGCACUAGAGAAAUGAAGAAAUGAUUUAGAAAUAAUUUUGAC
rnacentral:lncRNA from 1 species